UACGUAGGGGGCUAGCGUUGUCCGGAAUCAUUGGGCGUAAAGAGCGUGUAGGCGGUCCGGUAAGUCCGCUGUGAAAGUCGGGGGCUCAACCCUCGAAUGCCGGUGGAUACUGUCGGGCUAGAGUGCGGAAGAGGCGAGUGGAAUUCCUGGUGUAGCGGUGAAAUGCGUAGAUAUCAAGAGGAACACCUGCGGCGAAGGCGGGUUGCUGGGCCGACACUGACGCUGAAGUGCGAAAGCCAGGGGAGCGAACGGG
rnacentral:rRNA from 1 species